CCCUUAGAUGUUCUGGGCUGCACGCGCGCUACACUGAUGCAUGCAACGAGUUUUCGACCUUGCCUGAAAAGGUUGGGUAAUCUGUUUAACAUGUGUCGUGAUGGGGAUAGACCAUUGCAAUUAUUGAUCUUGAACGAGGAAUUCCUAGUAAGCGCGAGUCAUCAGCUCGCGUUGAUUACGUCCCUGCCCUUUGUACACACCGCCCGUCGCUACUACCGAUUGAAUGGUUUAGUGAGGACUCCUGAUUGGCGCCGCCGCCCCGGCAACGGAGCAGCGGACUGCCGAAAAGUUGUUCAAACUUGAUCAUUUAGAGGAAGUAAAAGUCGUAACA
rnacentral:rRNA from 1 species